AUUGAACGCUGGCGGCAGGCCUAACACAUGCAAGUCGAGCGGUAACAGGACUAGCUUGCUAGUUGCUGACGAGCGGCGGACGGGUGCGUAACACGUAGGAAUCUGCCCGGUAGUGGGGGAUAGCCCGGAGAAAAUCCGGAUUAAUACCGCAUACGCCCUAAGGGGGAAAGAUGGCCUCUUCUCGAAAGCUAUCACUAUCGGAUGAGCCUGCGUCGGAUUAGCUAGUUGGUGAGGUAAAGGCUCGACCAAAGGCGACGAUCCGUAGCUGGUCUGAGAGGAUGAUCAGCCACACUGGGACUGAGACACGG
rnacentral:rRNA from 1 species